rnacentral:misc_RNA from 1 species
AAAAGGGGAGUAAGCAGGUUCAGGUGUAGGAAGGAAAGGGUUAGAAGUUGUUUGGGCAGAGAAAGGGCUGAAUGGGCUGUAAGAGACCGGAGCUUCUGUGGGCUUAUGUAAGUCUGCCUCAACUUGGGCCAACUAUUUUUUCAGCCUUCUUAUCUCCUGUUCCUUUUGGUUGAAUUCUGCACCAAAUCUCCGUUGUUGGAUCAAAGCCUUGAGAUCUCUAUCAAGCUGGGUAAUUUUUCUUUGUAAGUCCUUGUACAUGUUU